ensembl:lncRNA
UCAGUGCUCAAGAGUCAUUUGGAUAAUGCCCUCAAUAAUAUCCUUUAACUUUUCAUUAGCCAUGAUGUGGUCAGACAGUUGCACUAGAUAUCUUCGUGCAUCCCCCCCUUCCAAAUAACCUACUCUAUCCAUUCCAGCCUCUUAAGAGUGCUAUUUUCUCAGUCUGAUUACCCCAUCUGAUAACUGAAUUGUAAUGAAACAACUGUUCACACACACAGUUGUAUCCUGAAAAGAAAAAUAACCAGCUGAAAAUCCUGCCCCUUUACAACUAAACAAUUAAGAUUAAUCACUUAUGGGUCGCUUUGUUUCUUUAUAUUCAAAACUUGUCAGCAACUACCCCCCAUGAACCAUCUCCAAUGACAGAACUAAAAUAGCUUAAAUAUAAGCCAGCAGUUCUCCAGCACCUAAAUCAUUUAAGGCAGAAUGACUAAUAUGGAAGAUUUUAAGGAGCUUUUAGAACAUAGCUAAAACAACCAAACAAAAAUUCUUCACCCUUACUCCCAUAACUUUCUCUUCGUUUAUUGCCAAUUUCAUCUGUCCUUCCUAUUUCUGUUUGCCAAACUGAUCUUUCAUUGAACUUGUCCUUUUCAAUUCACUUUUCAUCCUGUAUUUGUCAGUCUUCCUUUUACCUUUACUUCUCCUUUGUUUUGUUUCUCCAAAUCACUUCUUGUCAUUUUCUCUUCACUUCACUAGUUCCUCACUGACCAAAGUGGCAGGUGGAAUGUGCAGAAGCAAUGCACAAAUUAUUCUGAAGAGCAUCCAUGGCUUCACACUCAGCAGAUUUCUUUAUAGGAAGGCUAGGCCUCCCUAAAACGGAUUUGCACUUUUCCUUGCUAUUCCAGAAAGCAAGGACUUUCUGCAGCUUCAGAACAGCUCUCAUACCACAGGUUCCACUGUAGUGCUAAGUGCCUUCUUUGUAUCUCCCCCACAAAAACAAAAAAAACCAUGAACAUACUCUGUGAAAGCAAAUAGCAAUUCUGCAGCAUUAUAAACUUGUAUCCAAUACUGACAUUUACAAUUAUCAUUACUCUCUUUUCACUACUUCAGUAAUAUCCCAGACACAGCUACCACAAUGACACAUGAAGUCAGACUACAGCCUUAAAACAGCAUAGCCUUGACUACCUUAAACUGCAAGAAUUUCAGUCUCAAAUAUUGUAAGUGGUUCCAGGCUGUAAGAUCUGGAAAUUCCAAACAGAGACAGAUACAGAGUCAAUACUUCCUGUUGUCAGAUGGAAAACAUAAGGGUCAGCCAGCUUAAUUCUUUCCAACUGUUCUCAGCUAAUUUUAGCAUUGAGCAUAAUACAGGUGAUACUUCCACUCAUCUUUGAGAAAUGAAAAGGUAAGAGGUGAGAAGAAUUGGCCUAGAACAAAUGUCAAGUCUAUCCAUGCCAUCCAAUACUCAUUUUUCAUUAAUUUUAAAAUUGACAAGCAGCUCAUUAAUUCCCUGGGCUUCAGUACAAGUCAGGGUAAUUUUAGCACUGACACCACAAGCAAAGUCCAGGUCAGUACUGAGGGGUAUUGCUUUGCAUUUCUUUUUUUCAAUUUGAAGUUAGUAUCUUUUUUAGCUAAAGAGAACCAGAUAGUUAUUUCAAGAUUUUCAUUAAAUGGUCAAGAUUUCUAUUGACUCCAUUUAGAUCAUGCUCAAAAUCCCCAUACGAAUAUUACUAAUUCCUUUCUCCUUUAACAAUUCACAUUCCAGGGAAUAAAAACACAACUUCAAAAUCAUUCCUGUAAUUCUAUACCAGACUCAUAUACUGAAUUGCUGACAAAGAAAAGAUUUUUAGCAACAAAUCUGAAAUAAAACAAAUUUUUAGCUGGCAACAUUUUUAAGGAAUACAAUAUAGUUUUUCAAAAGCAAAACAUACACAUUCUGCAAAACAAAACUAAAAAGUCAUUAAAGAGGUGAUUGUUUGAAAAUGGAACUACAUGCUUACCAUUUUCUCUUGAACACUGAAACAAGCCAGUGCUGGGAGAUCGGUCAGAUCACAACUUGCAUCUCAGAAGAAAUGAUGGACACCACUGUACAGAAAUCAGAUCAGUUUGCCUCCAGUCUCCUUGCCAAGGAGUGUUUCACAACGUAGACAUUUUCCAGAAUUCAUACUGAGAUUCUAUAAGAAUUUCACUUGAGAUGUGAAGGUUUCCUAAAACUUCCUAAAACAGAACUUACAACCAUAGUAAACAAUUGUGAGAGAGAAACAUGAAGGAGUUCUAUCAGAACCAGAGACAGAACCUUAUAGAAUACAUUACUAUUUUCUUUUUUUUUCCUUUAAACUUAUUAUUAUUUUUAAUUUUACUGUCAAAUAGCACACCUAGGAAAGCAAGUAAAGACCAGGUAAGCACACAGGGAUUCUUUGCAAGUAUUCUUGGUGGUGUCCAGCAAUUCAUGGUUCAAAAGGAUUUUCUCAGUCUUUACUUUUAACAGACUUUAAUGGAUUCACCUUACAAGUACUGGCCCACCUACUUUCAAGCCAAGUAAACUUUAAGGAGAUUUGGUUGUUUGUUUGGUGGUUGAUUUUUUGCAGAGGAGUGGGGAUGAGGUGCAGUGGUAAGGAGGAGCACUGGAGCUCAACUGAAUACCAACCUCAUUUUGCAUACUUGGAGCCACCACCUGGAGACUCCAUUUAAUAA